ACGUUUUCAACUGUUUUGGUCUUCUAAUAGAUUAAAAGAUUGAUAUAACAUAAAAGGAUUUUCUUCCAGCAGAACAUUACAUGGGAACCUUCCAUAGGUUAUCUCUGGGGUCUCUUGAAAGCUUUGGAAUGAAGAGAAUCCAGUGGAAAGAGCCAUGAUAACAUAAACCACCUUAAGAAUGUUAUAUAAAUGACUCUCUGGACCAUUUUGGAGAAGUUUCUUUGGUUGAAUAUACAGAUGCACCAAGGAAAGAGAAAUAAUAUUACCAGUCAGUUUUACCAUUUACACAGCUUGAAUUUUUACAUAUGAAAGGUCUAGAUUUUUUUUUUUUUUAGUCUGUCGUAAAAGUAAACCAGGCAGCAAACAAUAAUUUUAACACCUUAAAUUUUCACUGAUGACUCCACUUCUGUCUCUGGAGCUGUGUUUUGUGGUUUCACUCCCAGCGAGUCAGCAGCUUGCUUCUUCUUGAGGUGUCCUCUACUCUGGACAAUUCUUGUUCUCGUAUAUUCAUGGACAAGGUAAAUAUAUAUAUAUAUUAUACUAUAUAUAUUUAUAUAUUAUAUUAUAUAUAUUUAUGUGAGCAACCUCCCUAUAUAUAUAUUAUAUAUAUUAUAUAUAUAUAUUUA
rnacentral:lncRNA from 1 species